rnacentral:misc_RNA from 1 species
GCACUCUGCAAAAGAUUAUAGUUUCAAAUUACAUGUAGAAAGCAAAACAGAAUACCAAUGAUUAUACCAUGACAACAUAAUCUGAUGAAGAUAUAAUCUCAAUGUUUAGUAAUUACGCAAUCAACAAUAUUGCAAUAGAACAUGCUGAACAAAAUUAAAGGAUAGAUCUAUGUUGCAACAAGGUGCAAGGAAUAUUAGUGAUUUGUUUGCAUAAGGGCAUUGCCACUGUUUUGAAGAAGUGUUCAGGUCAGUACUAUUGCACCUAAGAAAUUAGUACUAUUCAUAUGAAUUUUGUUGCUUACUGGUGAUUAAUUCCUCAUCAUGUCCACAUCAUUUUUGUUACUUUGAAAUGCCAGCAAGAUCCAAAGGGCCUUUAAUCGGGAUACAGGAUAUCAAAUUGUUGAAAUGUCACUUGGUGUCCAUGACAACAGAAUUUUAAUCUUAGCACUCAUGUGACUUCAGACUAAAAGUUCUUCAUGAAAGAAACACAAGAGCUGUU